rnacentral:lncRNA from 1 species
GGUGUGAAGAUGAAAUGGAUGACUUAGAGAAGAAAAGAUUGCUAGCUAUCUCCUCUCUAAGUGGCCGGCCUCUAUUGGAGAAAAAGAGAGAAAGUGUUUCUCAUCUUUUGUCUCAAGAAACCCUAAUGAGAAAAAGCUAUAAAGAUGCUUUUAUAUCUCUUUUCUUAGGUGAGUGGCAAACUUGCAAUUAAGCAAAACUUCACACUCCCCUCACUAUGGCCGGCCUCUUUUAAGUGAUUAGGCUUAUUGCCCAUUUUGUUUUAGUUGUCAUACAACUUAAACAUAAUGGGCCUUGUGGACCAAAACACUUUUGGGCCCCGAAACACAAAACCAACUUAAAAGCCCAAUACGAACCUUUCGUAAAAUUAAUUAACUAAUUAAUUAAUCUUGACCAUUUUCAAUUAAACCAUUUAAUUGCAUAUCCAUUUUCAUUUAUAUUUCUUCACUUUCAUCCUUACUCGGUGUACGAUCCAUUAGGUUCCAAUUAACGAGGUAGUGGGCGAUUAUUACUCUUAACGAUCGAUUAUGAAUUGAAACUACAUUUCAAUUCUCCCUUUGAUUAAGAUUAGUGUUUGCUA